rnacentral:lncRNA from 7 species
AAAAUCUGGUUUGUAAUCUGUCUACACUGUGGUUGACCUCUAGUGUUAGUUGUACUUGAAAUACAGAUAUUUGUUGGAUUUUAUGGAGACAGCAUAAGAGCUGGGCUCUUUAGGGCAGUCAUCUUGUUGACACUCGGAGUUACAGAGGAGGAUGAGAGUGGAGAUGCCACAAAAAGCAGCUUUUGAGAGAGGAAGACAUACAAGCCAGAGGCCCGGAAAGCACACGGACUCAUUGUGGAGCACAGCUUCCAGCUGUGCCAUCCCUACAGGUGUCUGUGAAUCGCGCUGGAUGUCCACCUGCACCUUCAGUUCAGGCACAUAUUGUAUUUUUUGUCUGCAGUCAUGAGCCUGAAGCAAAGAGGCCCAUAAAACAAAACAAAACAAAAACACAUAUUCUGAAAGGAGCCUACACCGUGGAGGUUUUAACGGAAGAAGCUACUGCCAACCUGACUGAGCUGCAGCUGCAGUAGGAAGGGAACGCGAGAAACAGGCAUUAUAUCUGCAAUUCCUUCAAAAUAGUGGUGCAGUACCUAAACAAAAUCAUUUUGGAGUUCAAAAUAUAAACUGAAAGAUCAUCAGCCCUAAUAUCCACAGCUAGACAUCACAGCAAUCAUCCACCUACUAGAGUUGGAUCAGUGGCAGGCCGAGGCAUUUGAGCAGUCUCCCUUCCCCUCAGAUGUCUGUACGGUGAGUCCACAACAACCCACCACUGGGUCGAGGCGAUGUUCUGGUCUAGAGAAAUUCAGUUACUGGCAGUACUGAGAGAGCACAACACGAUUUUUAAGAAAUCCAGAAAUGGAGACAUUUUCAAAGACCGCGGCGCUGUUGCCACGGAGUGAGUUCUAGACAUAAAUCACGCAUGGGCACGUAAAGGGCAGUGAGGAGGGAGCUGUUAAAUGUUAACUUCUUUGAUUUAGAGCUGCAAAAGACCUUCCCAAGAACGCUCUUUGCUGAUACCUCAUGACUGACCUUUAAGGUGGCUUGCGCUUGGCCAAGCAGUCCUGAGCCUUUCAGACAAAUGUUUUGCACGGGGACCCACUGCUGGCCCAGCACCUGCUGAAACAACUGCUGCCUGGGCAGCUGAAGGACAGUGCUGGGUGUGCAGAAGAAAAGAAACUGAGGAACACUCUGGCUUAGGUAGGAAGAAUGAGAAUACUUAUCUCACAUGUGCGUACCUCAGAUAAUCAUUCACACCCACAUCCUUGUUUUGAAUCUGCACAGUAUUAAAAUAUCUCCAGCUGCACUUCACUUCCUGGAGUCUUCCCUGAUAUAGCAGAAGGAUGAAUACUACCACAUCCAGAUGCAAAAAAGAUAUCAGGACCCACGUGGUACGUACGUGUUUGUUUCGUGUAAGGUCUUUGCCAGUAGGAACUGGAGAGAGAACUGGAGAGAGGUGUUAGAGCACCAUGAUAAAAAGGAAGAGGAGAAAAAAAAAUCUCCGCUUUCCAAACCUCUUUGCCUGGUAUUGCUUGUGAUUUUCUAGCAUCUCAUAGAUAUUAAAGCUGCUGAUCCU